UCAUCCCACUUGGCCAUCAAGGACACCAAGGUCCAAAGCGGCUGUGAGUAGUCCAGAACUGAGAGCGGAUCCGGAUGACACCAGUUCAGCUGUAGACGACGGCUAUGUCUUCUUCAAAGUCACGGGGCUGCGGAGAGAGAAGUUCUUCACCAUCUGGGAAGUGUUAGAGGUCCAGAAAGGGUCUGAUGUGGGGAUGAGAAAAACCUGUCUUGAGGGCCUUUUAAUCAGGAACGCAGAAACAUAAACGUCUUCUCCCUUGCAAAGAAGUCUGGAUUCCCAGGAGACACCGGACCACAUCAUCGGUCCAGGUGGGCCCAGCCGGGCUGUCAGCUCAGCUGGCCCAACAAUCGAGGAGUCAGCUGGCUGGGCUGGUUUCUAGAAACUCCCGAUCUAAACCGUUCUCGCCGGUGGCAAAAUUCAGCUCCUUCGGCUAUAGGACGGAAGGCCACAGCUUCCUGCUGGGUGCCAGCUCCUAGAAGCUGCCUCUCUGGGAUUCUUUCCUCCAUGCGGGCCCCUCUGUCUUCAAAUCACCCCCAGAUAUCUAAGCUGGCACCCGAUGACAUCGUGUCCCGCUCUCAACUGGAGACCUCUGCUUCCAUGAUGGGUGGAGAUCCGCCAUCCUUUCAGGAGCUCACCGUCGCUCAGCGGUAGCCUUAAUUCCAUUUUAGAAUCCCUUUUGCCUUCUGAGAGUUCCUGGAUUGUGGGUCUGAGAGCUCAUCCUCAUCUGGGAACAGGCUGGGAAGUCUUGGGAAUCUUAGUUAGAAUUCUGACUCCUCAUAGAGACCAGACAUGGCUGCCGUGCUGGGUCAGGACUGUGUGUUUAUCUUUCUGGCCCCCACGCCACCCUUGGAGAAGAGGGUAAGCCCUUUGCUCUCCUCUCUGGGCCUGGCUCUGGGCUUUCUGUGACCCAAGAAGGAGCCCUGCCUCGGCACCUGGGGACCUCGCCUCCCACGUAGCACGUCUUUCUUUCAGAGUGGUAGGCAUGUCACCCCCCGCCCCCCAGCUCUAGACUGGCCUCUGCCCUUCCUACAGCUACGUGCCUUCUCCGCCAUCCACACUCGCCUACUCCCUUCCCACUCCUGGCAUCCGGUGUCUACCAGCACUCUGCCUUAACAUGCUCUCUCCCUUACCCUAGUGGGCACCUGCCAGGCCACAUGUCCCAGGCGCUAUGGUGACGACUGGGAUGGAGUCUCUCUUGCACGCUGCUCUAUUCCCGACCCGGGCCGGGGCUCGGUGCCAGGAGUAUAGCGGACAUUCUAACAAACUUAUGGUUUCUCUGGGUUGUAUCCGUGGGGUCCGUUCCCUGCUCCAAAUCUGGACAUGUGUCACCACUGUCCUCUCCAUGUGGGAAGUCCGGGUCCUUCUCUUCCUCGGACUGGGAACAAAGCAAAGCUCUAGUGUGCGGUCCAGCGGGAUGGAAUGUUGCUACGUGUCCUGUCCGUCUCCACUGUGCAUCUCACGUGCACAGAGACACCACACACCACACACAGAGAGACUCUGUGUUCUCCUUGGCCUGUGGCUCGGAGAGCAAGAGCUACCACCCCACGGCUCACAUCCCUUUGACAUACCUGGGACACCUUCAGCUGACCUCUGUGGAUUUGCUCUGCUGGCCUUGAUCCCUGAGUUUGGGCCUGUGUUCUCUCCGGAGCCCAGUGACCCACCCACUUCCUCUUGGGAGACCAGCCGAGGACAGUGAGGUUUGAAGAACGUCCUAAUCCCAGCUCCAGAGCUCCGCAAGAGAAAAUGACUAAAAGCCCUGGAAUGUAGAGCCUGUAGCUUCCUGCUGGGCAUUCUGAAUGAAACACGUAACCCCGCAGCUGCAGUUGACAAGAAGCCUCCCGAGGGAUGCCACCCCAGAGCUUUGAGCAGGGCAAGCAAGCUCUUGACUUGGUCCUAAGCCCCAGUGCCUGUCCUUCCUGCUCCCCUUUGAGGAACCAGCCCCCGACACACCAAUCACGUUUCUGUUGGUCUUAUUUAAAUGCUUCCCAGCUCCCAACAGCCUGGCUCUUUAAGUGGCUGAGAGGAGGAGACACUCCCACAUGCUCACCAACCUCAAAGAACAUUCCAGAUCUCCCUCUCUGUUGUCCCAGGAGCAGGUCCCCAUGCUGCAGCUCGGCAGGGUCACGCUGUUUCAAGCCAAGUGGGGAGAUGCAGCUCUCCACAGUCGCUCAGGGAUGUGGGGUGCAGGAGAGACUCCCAUGGCUGGCAGCUGGAAAAUCCCUAAAGGGACUUCCUGCAUGAAGGGAGGGUACACCAGCAUGCUUCCAGGGUCUCUGGGGAAAGUCAAGAUACACACUGGUCUUGAAGGUAUAGCCCCAUGAACUUGGAUACAGAUACACCCCAUCUGCAUAUAGUACAGAGUAUUUGUAGAAUGGCCCAGAAGGUUCCCUGGAGCCCCUUCCUACAGGGAUUAUCCAUCCAACUCUAUGUAACCACACUCACAAAUUUCUUUUGCCAUCUGUUAACGCUACCCGGCUUUGAACUUGAUUCACGUGGGAUUUCGGAUAGUGUAUGUGCUCUCUCUCUCCUGUGCUGCCCAUCUUGGACCUGCUUCUGGGCUUUGCAUUACCUGGAUGAGUUCCCUCUGCAUCCCUGGGACAUUGCCUCUUGUUCAUUAUGACUUCCUUCCAGAACUGCAGCCACAGGAUUCCCAGGUCUGAAGGGUUCACAAUAUGGCCCCAUGGUUGGGCGUGUUUGCAUAUGCCCGGCGGACACUUCCGCCUAGCCAGUUCCAGAUCAGGGUAGCCAUUUCCGAGUGAGGGCAUCUCGAGUGACCAGGAUGCCUGGCAGACCUGGACACUUCUGCCUAGCCAGUUCCAGAUCAAGAUAACCAUUUCCAGGUCAAGGCGUCUCGAGUGACCAGGAACCAUGACGUGGCAUGGCUACAUAGGCGCAACGUGGCCAUGUGAUCUACGCGCACGCAUGGAGUAGUGACAUCGACCUGUGCACGCCCGGCCUUUAAAAUAAGGCGCCAUGUUCCCGGUUCCUUCUUCUUCUCCACACACGUGUUUCCUACAGGCCUGCACACUCUCUGUCCCUUUAUCUUUAAUAAAAUUCUUAUUGGCGGAUUCUGUCGUGUUUCGUGACAUUUCCUUGCAGGGUAAGAGCACAGCCUGGCCAAUUAACUAACAAGGUCCCUGCCUGGGCUCUGCCCUUCCCUCUGUUCCCUGGACACCGUGAGUCUCCGUGACCUUGUGAUCAUCACCACUCACCUACUUCCUUCCCACGCAGACACACACUAACAGCUCUCUGUACCUUCUGUACCCCAGAUGUGUAUGAUGUCCACUUCCUGUCCAUUUGGUAUUGAAUUCAUUUGAAUGAUAAGGGAGUUUGUUAAAUCAGUCAU